GUUAUAUGGUCAAGUGAAGAAGCGCAUACGGUGGAUGCCUUGGCAGUCAGAGGCGAUGAAAGACGUGGUAGCCUGCGAUAAGCUUCGGGGAGUCGGCAAACAGACUUUGAUCCGGAGAUCUCUGAAUGGGGGAACCCAACCAGCACAAGCUGGUUAUCUUGCACUGAAUACAUAGGUGCAAGAGGCGAACCAGGGGAACUGAAACAUCUAAGUACCCUGAGGAAAAGAAAUCAACCGAGAUUCCCUUAGUAGUGGCGAGCGAACGGGGACUAGCCCUUAAGUGGCUUUGAGAUUAGCGGAACGCUCUGGAAAGUGCGGCCAUAGUGGGUGAUAGCCCUGUACGCGAAAAUCUCUUGGCCAUGAAAUCGAGUAGGACGGAGCACGAGAAACUUUGUCUGAAUAUGGGGGGACCAUCCUCCAAGGCUAAAUACUACUGACUGACCGAUAGUGAACCAGUACCGUGAGGGAAAGGCGAAAAGAACCCCGGAGAGGGGAGUGAAAUAGAUCCUGAAACCGUAUGCGUACAAGCAGUGGGAGCAGACUUCGUUCUGUGACUGCGUACCUUUUGUAUAAUGGGUCAGCGACUUAUUUUCAGUGGCGAGCUUAACCGAAUAGGGGAGGCGUAGCGAAAGCGAGUCUUAAUAGGGCGUCUAGUCGCUGGGAAUAGACCCGAAACCGGGCGAUCUAUCCAUGGGCAGGUUGAAGGUUAGGUAACACUGACUGGAGGACCGAACCGACUACCGUUGAAAAGUUAGCGGAUGACCUGUGGAUCGGAGUGAAAGGCUAAUCAAGCUCGGAGAUAGCUGGUUCUCCUCGAAAGCUAUUUAGGUAGCGCCUCAUGUAUCACUGUAGGGGGUAGAGCACUGUUUCGGCUAGGGGGUCAUCCCGACUUACCAAACCGAUGCAAACUCCGAAUACCUACAAGUGCCGAGCAUGGGAGACACACGGCGGGUGCUAACGUCCGUCGUGAAAAGGGAAACAACCCAGACCGUCAGCUAAGGUCCCAAAGUUAUGGUUAAGUGGGAAACGAUGUGGGAAGGCUUAGACAGCUAGGAGGUUGGCUUAGAAGCAGCCACCCUUUAAAGAAAGCGUAAUAGCUCACUAGUCGAGUCGGCCUGCGCGGAAGAUGUAACGGGGCUCAAACCAUACACCGAAGCUACGGGUAUCACGCAAGUGAUGCGGUAGAGGAGCGUUCUGUAAGCCUGUGAAGGUGAGUUGAGAAGCUUGCUGGAGGUAUCAGAAGUGCGAAUGCUGACAUGAGUAACGACAAUGGGUGUGAAAAACACCCACGCCGAAAGACCAAGGUUUCCUGCGCAACGUUAAUCGACGCAGGGUUAGUCGGUCCCUAAGGCGAGGCUGAAAAGCGUAGUCGAUGGAAAACAGGUUAAUAUUCCUGUACUUCUGGUUAUUGCGAUGGAGGGACGGAGAAGGCUAGGCCAGCUUGGCGUUGGUUGUCCAAGUUUAAGGUGGUAGGCUGAAAUCUUAGGUAAAUCCGGGGUUUCAAGGCCGAGAGCUGAUGACGAGUUACCCUCUGGGUGACGAAGUGGUUGAUGCCAUGCUUCCAAGAAAAGCUUCUAAGCUUCAGAUAACCAGGAACCGUACCCCAAACCGACACAGGUGGUUGGGUAGAGAAUACCAAGGCGCUUGAGAGAACUCGGGUGAAGGAACUAGGCAAAAUGGCACCGUAACUUCGGGAGAAGGUGCGCCGGUGAGGGUCAAGCACUUGCUGCGUAAGCCCACGCCGGUCGAAGAUACCAGGCCGCUGCGACUGUUUAUUAAAAACACAGCACUCUGCAAACACGAAAGUGGACGUAUAGGGUGUGACGCCUGCCCGGUGCCGGAAGGUUAAUUGAUGGGGUUAGCUAACGCGAAGCUCUUGAUCGAAGCCCCGGUAAACGGCGGCCGUAACUAUAACGGUCCUAAGGUAGCGAAAUUCCUUGUCGGGU
rnacentral:rRNA from 1 species